rnacentral:rRNA from 1 species
GUAGGAGGCAAGCGUUGUCCGGAUUUACUGGGCGUAAAGCGCGCGCAGGCGGCAGUGCAAGUACCGAGUGAAAUCUCCCUGCUCAACGGGGAGGGUGCUCGAUAAACUGCACAGCUAGAGGACGGUAGAGGGGGGUGGAAUUGCUGGUGUAGCGGUGAAAUGCGUAGAGAUCAGCAGGAACACCCGUGGCGAAGGCGGCCCCCUGGGCCGAACCUGACGCUGAGGCGCGAAGGCUAGGGGAGCGAACGGGAUUAGAUACCCCGGUAGUCCUAGCAGUAAACGAUGGCCACUAGGUGUGGGGGGUGUUGACCCCUUCCGUGCCGAAGCCAACGCAUUAAGUGGCCCGCCUGGGGAGUACGGUCGCAAGACUAAA